CAUCAUGGGAAGACGGGCUUUACGGCGAGGUGAAACCAUACAAUCUGGACAACGUAAAAGUACCUGUCACCAUACUAUAUGGAGAGAAUGAUCAACUCACAGAAAAAUCUCAAAUUAUGCGACUAGUGGACCAGUUGAACAAAACAGGGGUACUGGAGUCCGUCCAAGCGGGAGGCGGUUGGCCCAAGUUCAACCACUUAGACUUUAUAUUUGCCAAAGACGUCGGUAAAAUGGUGAACAGACCAUUGGUGGAGCAUAUAGGUGAUUUAUACAAUAAAUAUUAUAAUGAAUGAA